AGUGGGAUAACUGGGUCAAAGAGGUUCUAUUCCAAGUUUCUGAGGAAUCUCCAUACUGCUUUCCAGAGUGGUUGCACCAAUUUGCAGUCCCACCAGCAGU
rnacentral:pre_miRNA from 1 species